rnacentral:rRNA from 1 species
GACGAACGCUGGCGGCGUGCCUAAUACAUGCAAGUCGAGCGAGCUUGCCUAGAUGAAUUUGGUGCUUGCACCAAAUGAAACUAGAUACAAGCGAGCGGCGGACGGGUGAGUAACACGUGGGUAACCUGCCCAAGAGACUGGGAUAACACCUGGAAACAGAUGCUAAUACCGGAUAACAACACUAGACGCAUGUCUAGAGUUUAAAAGAUGGUUCUGCUGUCACUCUUGGAUGGACCUGCGGUGCAUUAGCUAGUUGGUAAGGCAACGGCUUACCAAGGCAAUGAUGCAUAGCCGAGUUGAGAGACUGAUCGGCCACAUUGGGACUGAGACACGGCCCAAACUCCUACGGGAGGCAGCAGUAGGGAAUCUUCCACAAUGGACGCAAGUCUGAUGGAGCAACGCCGCGUGAGUGAAGAAGGGUUUCGGCUCGUAAAGCUCUGUUGGUAGUGAAGAAAGAUAGAGGUAGUAACUGGCCUUUAUUUGACGGUAAUUACUUAGGAAGUCACGGCUAACUACGUG